rnacentral:rRNA from 1 species
AACGAACUCUGGCGGCAGGCUUAACACAUGCAAGUCGAACGCAUCCUUCGGGGUGAGUGGCAGACGGGUGAGUAACGCGUGGGAACGUGCCCUUCAGUUCGGGAUAACCCAGGGAAACUUGGGCUAGUACCGGAUACGUGCGAGAGCAGAAAGAUUUAUCGCUGAAGGAUCGGCCCGCGUCUGAUUAGCUAGUUGGUGGGGUAAUGGGCCACCAAGGCGACGAUCAGUAGCUGGUCUGAGAGGAUGAUCAGCCACAUUGGGACUGAGACACGGCCCAAAAUCCUACGGGAGGCAGCAGGGGGGAAUAUUGGACAAUGGGCGCAAGCUUGAUCCAGCCAUGCCGCGUGAGUGAUGAAGGCCUUAGGGUUGUAAAGCUCUUUCGUCCGGGACGAUAAUGACGGUACCGGAAGAAGAAGCCCCGGCUAACUUCGUGCCAGCAGCCGCCGUAA